AACGCACAUUGCGCCCGCCAGUAUUCUGGCGGGCAUGCCUGUUCGAGCGUCAUUUCAACCAUCAAGCCCCGGGCUUGUGUUGGGGACCUGCGGCUGCCGCAGGCCCUGAAAGACAGUGGCGGUCUCGCUGUAGCACCGAGCGUAGUAACUAAAACCUCGCUAAGGCUGCUCCGCGGGCUCCGGCCGUAAAACCCCCUUCUAACACAAGGUUGACCUCGGAUCAGGUAGGAAUACCCGCUGAACUUAA
rnacentral:misc_RNA from 2 species